rnacentral:lncRNA from 1 species
GGAAACACUGACCACAGAAGACAAGUUGAGAACUCCAGAUUCUUGGGUCUUUGGAGUCUGGGACUGACAUCAGCGGCCCCCCAGAUUCUCAGGCCUUUCAGCCUUGGACUCAGAAUUACACCAUCUGCUGAGCCACACUACUGGCUUCCCUGGCUUUCCAGUGUGCAGACAGCAUAUCGUGGGACUUCUCAGUCUUCAUAAUCAUCUGUAUAUUCUUUGAGAUACUUGAGAUCUUUCUGGUUCAUGCCCUCAUCUGGAAAAUGGAAAUAAUAACAUCUCUGCAUGGAGAUGACAAAGUGUGGGUACAAUGCCUACCACACUGUAGCUACUCAAGAAAUGGAAGUCACAAUCAUUCUCAUGCCACCAGCCUACUGAGCAGAUCAAUGUUCUGGUGAUGUUCUGCAUCCAGACCAUCUUUCAAGAACUGAAUGGUUACUACCCUGGGUCUUCUACCGAAAGAAAGAACAUGGGUGUGGGCAUUCAAGUAUAGCCUCUAAAAAAAGAACACAUAAGUGGUUGCUGGGUGCUGUUAUAUAAUCACACACAUACAAGGCUUAAAUCAUGAAUAUUUCCUUUUUGAAGGGGAAAAAAAGCAAAAAUCCAAUUGUGUAGAGUUUUAGGACAAGAAUAUUAUAUGAAGAAAAUAUAGCUCCAAGAGAUAGUGGCUGAAAGGGCAGAAUUAGAGAAGCAGAAGAAGCAAGAAGUUACCGCAAAGGCUUCCAAAAAUAAAAUAGGAUGAUACGCCCAAGAAAACAAAGGCUACUUUUGCUAAGUCAGGGGUGAGAGAAAAUAAUGAAAGAUGCAAAGAAGAAUGACUAUGGAGCUACUAUUUUGUCUCAGCCUUUAGCACAAAGAACGAAGGAAGCAGGAGCUCAGUAAGAUAAAUAUUAAUGAGUCUCUGGGAAUAUCAAGAAACAGAAUUAAUAAGAGGCAGGUAAAAGAAUACUUAUACAAUUUAAAUAUUUAUAAAUCAGUACAGCUGGGUGAGAUUCAUUUGAACAAAUUCAAAGAACCAGCUAAGGCAGGACAUACCUGCAAUACUAGUGUUUGUCAUAGAGAGUUAUGUACCAGGGAAAUUUAAGCAGGCUGAUUUAGUGUUGGAGCUAAAGCAGCCAAAAGCAGAUACAGGAAAAGGUGGGCUAGUUAGCGCAUCCAAACUACCAGUCAAAACUCUAAAUGAAAUCAUAAAUCAGUCCAUGAGCAUCUUCAGAAAAAUAACAUAGUAAGUCAUAGCCAAAGAGGUUCAUAAAAAACAGAGCCUGUCAAAGCAACUUAAUCCAUUUUUUGGAAAUGCUAAGAAAUUUGGAUUAUAGACAUAGUUUACAGAGGCCCUGCAGAUGCCACCAGACAACUCAAUUUGAACCCAUCUUGGUGAUGGAAUGGCUGUUACUCUCACUGUUUCCAACAGAGAAGGGCAAUUUCACCUGCACAUUUAAUACACAGGGAUAGGGUUCUCUGUUCAUUCCCCAUCAUAGCCCAGGACAGAGUUAAUUUAGUUCUUAGCUAAAUAGAGUCAGUGCCCAGAAGUAUCCAAAUGAGAAUGAAAUAUAUUGAUAAUUCUGUUAUCCAAAUGAGAGUGAAAGAUAAUGAUAAUUCUGGAGCAAACUGGACUAACAUCUUUCAGAAAAAACAAUAUAUAUAUGUGUAUGUGUAUGUCUGCAAUUAUCAGGAUAAUUCAAGGAAAACAAAUACUAUUGCUCGAAUUGAUCAUAUAAUUAUGGAAAAUAUAAGAAGAUGUGAAAACAAAGGCCCUCUUAUAAAAUACAAAGACCUGACCGGGUCACCAGGCUCUGCUGAAACUGUUCAAUGACUUCCCAGGGUUCUUAGGCCAGAACCCUCAGCCUCCUCUCAAGGCCUGCCUAGUCUGUCUGUGCUCUUCUCUGCAGCAUCACUGGCACCACACCCCUCCUUGCCCUGGGCAAGCCAGCUCCUCUGCCCUUCUUUCAGCUCUUGCAAGACUUCCUCUUGUUUUUGCCACUGAGCCUUUGCACAUGCUGCCCUUGCUUUUACUUACCCUAGCUACUUAUUCUAUAGUUUUCUACUCAAAUCCCACUUUGGGAGGUAAACCUUCUUUUACCUCCCAGAACAUAAUAUUUUCAUAGUAUUUGGCUCUAAUAAAACCAAUUUUCUUCCCAGAAGCACUUAUUUUAGAAUGUAAUUUUAUACUCAUUUAAAAAAAAGUUAGUGUAGUCCUCCUCCACUAGAUUACAAGCUCCACCAGAAAAG